AUUGAACGCUGGCGGCAGGCCUAACACAUGCAAGUCGAGCGGAUGAAGAGAGCUUGCUCUCUGAUUUAGCGGCGGACGGGUGAGUAAUGCCUAGGAAUCUGCCUGGUAGUGGGGGAUAACGUUCCGAAAGGAACGCUAAUACCGCAUACGUCCUACGGGAGAAAGCAGGGGACCUUCGGGCCUUGCGCUAUCAGAUGAGCCUAGGUCGGAUUAGCUAGUUGGUGAGGUAGUGGCUCACCAAGGCUACGAUCCGUAACUGGUCUGAGAGGAUGAUCAGUCACACUGGAACUGAGACACGGUCCAGACUCCUACGGGAGGCAGCAGUGGGGAAUAUUGGACAAUGGGCGAAAGCCUGAUCCAGCCAUGCCGCGUGUGUGAAGAAGGUCUUCGGAUUGUAAAGCACUUUAAGUUGGGAGGAAGGGCAGUAAGUUAAUACCUCGCUGUUUUGACGUUACCGACAGAAUAAGCACCGGCUAACUUCGUGCCAGCCGCCGCAGUAAAAC
rnacentral:rRNA from 1 species